GACGAACGCUGGCGGCGCGCCUAACACAUGCAAGUCGAACGAGCGAGCGAGAGCUUGCUUUCUCGAGCGAGUGGCGAACGGGUGAGUAACGCGUGAGGAACCUGCCUCAAAGAGGGGGACAACAGUUGGAAACGACUGCUAAUACCGCAUAAGCCCACGGUGCCGCAUGGCACAGAGGGAAAAGGAGCAAUCCGCUUUGAGAUGGCCUCGCGUCCGAUUAGCUAGUUGGUGAGGUAAUGGCCCACCAAGGCGACGAUCGGUAGCCGGACUGAGAGGUUGAACGGCCACAUUGGGACUGAGACACGGCCCAGACUCCUACGGGAGGCAGCAGUGGGGAAUAUUGCACAAUGGGGGAAACCCUGAUGCAGCGACGCCGCGUAGAGGAAGAAGGUCUUCGGAUUGUAAACUCCUGUUGUUGGGGAAGAUAAUGACGGUACCCAACAAGGAAGUGACGGCUAACUACGUG
rnacentral:rRNA from 1 species